AACAGGUGUUAAGAGGAAGAGAGGAGCAAGCAUAUAUAUAUGGCACUCCAGGAAGAUGAAGCUUGCUUUGCUGUGACUAAAGAGAACUUGUAAGGAAGCCUGUGUCCAUAGAUUGUCAUGGUAGCUCGCAACCUUUACUUUCUUUACGUGUGUCAAGUAAUUCCAGGGAGUAGACGUGUAUGCAGCUGUAGUCUGGGAGGUCUGAUGUUAGGGAAAAAGAAGGAGGAAAGCAAGAUUAAAAAUCAUUCCUGGAAAUGCAAGAGAAAAUGUGCUGGAGUGGUGCUGUUAGUACCAGGGACACUGGACAAGAAAGAUAAGCAAGCCACUGCUGUCUGAUUCCUACAUAGCAGGUUAAAGUGUUGGAUUCAUAAUUCUCACUUCAGGAAGACUGAAAACCAGACUUUAUUCUGCUAGAUCCCAAGAUAUCAAGGAAGAGGAAAAGGGAAGAGCCCCAGGCACUAUUAAACCACAGCUACAAUCACUGCCAUUUGAAACUUCCCACCAAACAACUUUACUAUUCUGAUUUAAUUUCAACUCCCAGGGAGAGUUAGUAUUAAGAGGAAGUACCUAUCAUCCAUGAUAAUCCACCAGCUCUGGGGGUUUAGAAGGGAAAGGAUGGAGGUCUCAGUGCUUGAGGC
rnacentral:lncRNA from 1 species